AGCCAGUUGUUUCGCCUGAGUACGGUGUGUAGUGGAUGUACCCUCGGUUCGAUGUUUCUUUACUAUCAUCACCGGGUAUACAUUCAUCAAAUACCGUAGCUCAGUACAGUAGGCAGAACC
rnacentral:precursor_RNA from 9 species